rnacentral:rRNA from 1 species
AGGGCACCACCAGGAGUGGAGCCUGCGGCUUAAUUUGACUCAACACGGGGAAACUUACCCGGCCUGGACACUGGAAGGAUUGACAGAUUGAGAGCUCUUUCUUGAUUCAGUGGGUGGUGGUGCAUGGCCGUUCUUAGUUGGUGGAGCGAUUUGUCUGGUUAAUUCCGAUAACGAACGAGACUCUAGCCUAUUAAAUAGGCUCUCGGCUUUUAAACGCCGGGAGGACUUCUUAGAGGGACAGGUGGCGGUUCAGCCGCACGAAAGAGAGCAAUAACAGGUCUGUGAUGCCCUUUGUUGUCCGGGGCCGCACGCGCGCUACACUGAAGAGAUCAGCGUGCUUUACGUUCCCGCUCCGACCGGAGUGGGGAACCCAGUGAACCUUCUUCGUGAUUGGGAUAGAAGAUUGUAAUUAUUCUUCUUGAACGAGGAAUUCCCAGUAAAUGCGAGUCAUAAGUUCGCGUUGAUUACGUCCCUGCCCUUUGUACACACCGCCCGUCGCUACUACCGAUUGAACGAUUU